UAGAGUCUGCUCCUACAGAUGGUGCCAUACCCAUGCUGGGAACUUCAUUUGGUCAGGCUGAUAAAAGCAAGAAAAAGGCAGAUAAAAUCACUGAGGAAUGGACCAGGCUGAGAGGUUGGCUCUGUUUCUCCUUUUGCCCACAGCAGAGAAAGUCACAUAAGGCAUUUGAGAUCUGAGAUGAAGUAUGCUUCAACCUGCAGGAGGGCUGCAUGGCCAGAGGGCACUCGGUGUGAUGCACAUCCCUCAGCAUGCACUUCACAGCCUGGAGAAGUGAGCAAGGAGCUCACAUUCACAGCUGGAAAUCAUCAGCCUCCGUUAGCAAAAUCAGGAUAUCUCAGGCCCUCUGGAUGGCCUGAAUCAAAACACGUCACCUCCUUCCAGAUCUGUUCUGUUGCUGGUUAAAGGGGAAAGUGAUACUGACAUGCUUGGACUAGUCACUGGUACCAGAGUCGUUCAGUGAUGGGUUUUCGGCUUGAGGCAAAAAUGCAAGCAUUCUCCAGGGAGACAGAGCUGUUGUACAGAAUCGUGUCCUCCUCACAACCAUUAGAACACAAUCCCCAAAACACAGCCAGGAAUACUUCCUUUGACUUAACAGCCUACCUCCAAGGUCAUGCCAUCAAGAGGGAGAAGUGAUGACUCAGAUGCCAUCGGUGAGUUUAACACCCUGUCCUGGUCUGCUGUUAUUUAUUGCUGGUUUUAUAGCAGGGCCUCAGUGCAUGAAGUCUUGUACAAACACAUAGUGAGGACAGCCCUGGCGGAGGGCUUACAGUUGAUAAAAGGGGGCUGCAAACUGUGCCUCAUGCGUUGCUAGUGGUGUGCCAACCACCUCCAGGGUGAACACAGGAGCAUCUCCCUGCAUUUUGGGGGAGAUGCUUCCUUCAGGCACCAAGAAAUGUCCAGCAUGGGCCUCAUAUUUGUGCAAUGGUUAGUCUUCAGCUAGGGCGUCUUUUGCUCUGUGUAGUGACCUGAAGUUUGAUGACUCUGGUCUGAAUGUUAUGGCUGGUGGUGAAGGACAUGCUCAAGGUCACACUGAACAUUAGGGGCUCAGUCAGGAAUAAAACCCAGACUUCUUCAGUCCCGUCUAGAUGCCAAGGCAAAUGGGUGCUGGAGGAAGCAAGUGGCCCCUAAUAAACAUCGCCCUUAUGAUAUUCUCACAGCAUUUGAAAGGCUUCCUCAUGAAUAGAUUAGAAAAUGUGCAGAAUCAGAUCUGCAGCUAGCACCAUCAGGAAAAACAGCUUCUUUUGAAUUGAUUUAGCUGUCAAAAUUUGACACCAGUCUACACCAACUGAGGAUUCAGCCCCCUAUUCUUGGCAAGUGAUUUAUAAUGAAAGAAUGUGGAUACACUUAAGCAGCUUGCUCUUUUUUAUUUUAAGAUCAUGAUUCGUUCCAGAUUGGUAAUUAAAUUUAGUUCUUUCGGUGAUAGGAACUGCUCUGACAGCUGCAAAUCAUAAUAAUAUGCAUUUGUGUACGUUUGUGUCUACAUCCUUGUGCAUUUUUGCUGUUGUAGCAACGAAUACAGUCACUGACUUAAGAACAUUACACGGUAUUUUGAAAUUGUUCUUGCAAACAGCCAGUGCUUGCAUGAUCAGGGCAGAGUGGUGCUCAGCUAAAGACACCUUUGCCUGCCUCCCAGAAAGACCUGUCUCCAAACAGCAACAUCUCCACCUAUGAUGUUGGUUGGGUCAGCCCCAAAUUAGCCCAGCCACAACCCCCAAAUUAAGUGCUUAUUUGUCCUGCUGAGCUGCCUUCUUGCUGCAACGUGUGCCCCACACUGCUCUGUGCCUUGUGGGGCUGUCCCAGCACACUGGGACUGUUCCCCUGGGGAUGGGUGGAGGUGGCAGGAAGGGAUGGGAGAGUUAUUAUCAGCUGAGUAAUGUAAUCCAAAUCUUCCCCGGAGCUGUGGCAGAUUUCUAAGUGAAAGCAAAAGAAAUGCUCCAGGCAAUGCAUCCUGCUGGGGCAGCUUGUCCCAGCUGGGAGCACCAGCUAACCAGGAUGAUUUCUCAGUGGGGGCAAGGAAAAGGUUUGGAGCAGCUCCCAAGCUAGAGCUUGCGCUCAUCCUGAUGUGAAGGCAUGCCUGAAAGAACCCACCCCCCUAUUCAAAAGUGUGCUGCAAGGCUUAAAUUUGCAUUUAGAUGGCAAUCACAAAUAGAAAUGCCACCAAGAUGUUUCUUUAGUUCUGGAAAUUCAGCAAAAUUCAAAGCUGUUUUUAUGAUGCUGCCAGACCCAUUUCCAUUGAUGGGAAUUAAUUUUUCCCAAAAACUGAAUGGCGUGAUAGCGUGCCAGUUUUGAUUCUCCUAGCUGGUGGCUCUGGUUGCUGAGUCUGGUCUCUGGGCAUGCAGCAUGGAUCCUCCACAGCUUCACAUGUGGCUCCUGUGACUGAUGGCCACGUCCUUGAACCCCACAUAACCCGGUCUUCUAGUCUCUGAUAGAUCCGUAAGAUAAAAUCCAGCUUCACUGGGAUUUAUUUUCAUCCCUCUAAUGAAAGUGUUUUGAUUCGUUUUGCAGCAUGGUUUAGAGAGCAGGAAAUUUAAAACCAGCUCAAUGUGCAGUAGGCUUGAACAUGGAGAUUUGCUGUCAGCCCACCCAACGGGGGUGCAGCUUAGUGCAUGAUGGAAAAGGCGGUUUGGGGGGUUCAGAAGCAAUUUCCUCACUCUACCACCAACUCAGUCCUCAAAGAGCAGCAAGCUGUCUACUGUACCUCUUCCUGAAUGUGGGUGAGAGUCUGUCAAUCAAUUUGAUAAUCCCCAAAACUUGUCUGAGAUAUGACUCCAGGCUCAGGAAAUAAAAUUUAAAAAGUCGACAUUACGGUAAAAGGAAAAUUAUCAGCUGUAAUUUUCAGUAGAGUCGAAAUAGGAAAACUGCAGCAUUUACAAUUUGUGUAAAAGAAACUGGUAAUCUUUAACACUUGUGUUAUCUUGUGUAUUCCUCAGUUCAGGCCAUACAUGUCACUGUUAUAGGAUUAGCCUCAACAAGUCACAGAGCCAGGGACACAGAGCUGAGCCUUAGAACUGACAGGUGGUAGAUGAGGGAGAAUGUAUAGGUGUAAAGGGAGAAUGUAAAGGUGGUACGAGGCAAUCUUACUGUCCUGUGCCUUCACCAGCACCUCCCUGCCAGCUGUCACCACUGGCAAAUGUGGAAUAGCUUUUGAUAUCUUGUUUUUCUCUGUCGGAGUAUCAGCUGAGUUUGGAUGGAGUUUAGAAAGCUAACAGGAAUGCUGGUUUUAAUUUUAGGGGAGAAAAAACAACCCUUCUGUGCUUCAGUUUGUUUUCCAACUUUCAAGACAGAGACCACAUCCUCCCUGGUUUACUGCUUCUCCUUAUCUGACAGACGGGGUCAUGCUGCAGGGAUAAAACAAUAUACUCUCAAUGCAGAGGUCUCGCAUGUUUAUUGGGAAUAACUUCAUCCCUAGCCGACUCAGUGUGUUUUUAAAAAACAUCUUUUUUUAAAUAGUUUCUUUGAAGGCUAGUAUUGGGGUUGUGUCCCUUAAUUCUUCAGAGAAAAGUGACCUUUAAGCCUCCAAUUUUGAAAACCGUUCCAAACCAUGGAGCCCCGAGUGCCAAAACCUUUUCACAUUCAAAUCUCUUUCAAGCAGAACAGGGAGAGGAAGACUGGAGUUAGUGCACUCAAAUGACCUCAUUUGCCACAUCAGAGCACAGAGAAUUUAUUCUAUAAAGAGCAUCCGUAUGUGUGCAGUAUCCAAGAUGCCUUGUUAGCCAGUUGCUUCAAUAUUGCUACUAAUAAGCCAGCUUUUAUAUGGUAUGGUUUGGCUGGAAUCAAACAUAUGAAUUCUACAUCAUACAAAAUUUUGAGGUCCUGAUCAGCAAAGCCACUUCAGCACAUGUGUAGGUUCAAGCACACAAGCAUGGAGAUCAUCAGAACUUUCCACCAAAAAAUGUUUUCCAGUGGAAAAUUAG